ACAUUUGUGGUUUGUAAGUCUUCCAGGGGAAUCUAAUGCAGCUGAAAUUUGAGGAAGAGCAGAUCUCACACAAAGGAGGGGCACCUGGGCGGCUCAGUCGGUUAUCCCUCGGACUCUUGAUUUCGGCUCAGGUCAUGAUCUCCAGGUCAUGUGAGCAAGCGCUUUUUCGGGCUCUGUGCUUGGUGGGGAGUCAGCUUGAGAUUCUCUCUCCUUCUCCCUUUGCCCCUCCCUCCUGCACUCUGUCUCUCUCUCCAAAAUAAAUAAAUAAAUCUUAAAAAAAAAAAAAAGAAUCUUGGAACACUGCAUCAAAAACCAAUGAUGCAUUUUAUGGUGACUAACAUAACACAAUAAAAAUUAAAAUUAAUAAGUAAAUAAAUAAAAUCUUUUUUUUAGAAAAAAGAGGGCUCAAGAUAGAUCUCUUGCAUCAACACAGGCUCUCUUGUGUGUGAGGUCAUCUAGGCAUGUUUUUGCUUCCUUAGGGGGCAUAUGAAGAAUGCUGCUAAGAACCAGCAGACCUCGAGUAGCCCUGCCAUACUUGAGGAUAAAUGCCAGGAGCCAAAGGUCCAGGGAACCCCUUUGGCCAGGUUUGGUGGUGGAGAGCAUGGCUGAGACUCAGGGAGCUGACAACAUCUGAAACCGACGAGGAGGAGCCAAGGCCGAAAAAUGGUGGAUCAACCAGCCAGUUCUACAAAGACCCAGGAGUCAAAGAGGAGGAACUGCUUACUCCAACAAGAAGGGACCUUGCAUUUCCAAAGAGAAGAAGCCUACUUUAUUACUCCAGCAAAAGGAGGGCAGAAUUUCUUCUUACCCAGCAACAAGCUCAGCCAAUAAGAAAAUACCGUAAUUCAGCCAAUGAAAAACCAUCACUACUCUGAACUUUCGCUUUCCUCCAGUAGACUUCUUUUUUUCCCCCAAAAGCAGUCCCUCCCAACUUCCUCCUUUUUUCUGUAAAGUAAUGUUCCUCUGGUUUGAUCUCCAGACUUGCCUAUGAUUUGUCAUAGCUUGCAUGUCACCGGUUGCAAUUCCUCUGCUAUACCCAAAUAAAC
rnacentral:lncRNA from 1 species